rnacentral:rRNA from 1 species
GAUCAUGGCUCAGAGCGAACGCUGGCGGCAGGCCUAACACAUGCAAGUCGAACGGACCCUUCGGGGUUAGUGGCGGACGGGUGAGUAACACGUGGGAACGUGCCUUUAGGCUCGGAAUAGCUCCUGGAAACGGGUGGUAAUGCCGAAUGUGCCCUUCGGGGAAGGAUUUAUCGCCUUUAGAGCGGCCCGCGUCUGAUUAGCUAGUUGGUGAGGUAACGGCUCACCAAGGCGACGAUCAGUAGCUGGU